rnacentral:rRNA from 1 species
CCUACGGGAGGCAGCAGUGAGGAAUAUUGGUCAAUGGGCGGAAGCCUGAACCAGCCAAGCAGCGUGCAGGAUGACGGCUCUACGGGUUGUAAACUGCUUUUAUACGGGAGUAACGUGCCUUACGUGUAGCGCUUUGCAAGUACCGUACGAAUACGGACCGGCUAACUCCGUGCCAGCAGCCGCGGUAAUACGGAGGGUCCAGGCGUUAUCCGGAUUUAUUGGGUUUAAAGGGAGCGUAGGGUGUAUGGAAAGCGGGCUGUGAAAUGUCCGGGCUCAACCCGGGCAUUGCAGCGCGAACUGGGGGGCUUGAGUGCGGGAGCGGCAGGCGGAAUUCGUGGUGUAGCGGUGAAAUGCUUAGAUAUGGCGAAGAACACCGAUUGCGAAGGCAGCUUGCUGGAGCGGAACUGACGCUGAUGCACGAAGGCGCGGGGAGCGAACAGGAUUAGAUACCCUAGUAGUC